GACACAAUGACGUCAAAUGAAUCGAGAGUGCCUAAAGGGAAAGCUUGUACUUCAGAGCCUAGGCAUCCUCUUCCCAGGUCACUGUUUCCAAGCCACAGAACGUGGCCGCCCUGAAAAUAGAGAUACCAGGUGGCUUCUGUGCGCAGAACACUAUCUUAUCCCAGGGACCGAGUUUUCCCAUUGCCCCAUGUACGUACUGAGUCUAUUCACUCAUUUUUAACGACAACAUUGAAAUGUGUUACGAAAAUAUGCCUCGUGCCCUCUGAGGUCACCUCGAAGUUAGCCAGUGCAACGUCUCACCUUUCUAUCAGUGAAGGAAAGGAUGAUGUCUCGUGACUCUGCCAUCGGGAAUGAGGUAUGGGCUUCGGUCAGGAGACUUGGAAACUGAAAACAUACACAGAGUAAUUGAUUGUAGUGAGAGUGGUUUGCACAGCACCCCUCACACACUCUCGCCCCUGCCACUUGUUUUGUAGCUGGGGGACAGAGAGCAACAACUAAUCAGGCAGCCAGAGGUGCAGCAUAUUGCAAAGUGCUCACAGAUGUAUUUUUUUUUCCACCCUCAUGCAGGACCCGCUGACGGUCAUGGUGACUGCAGCAGAAUGUCAUAACCCAGCAGGUGGUUGUCUUGGUAACUAAGACUGAUGACACUGAUCCCAGGACAAAGUAUCUUUCUCUGUUACUUCUGAGUUCCACUACCUUUUUUUUUAAAAAAAAACAAACACAAAACAGCUGUGAUCUUCUGAAUAAACCAUUCCCACUCCUAGGGCGAACUCACUCUGGGCUUCUGUGGUCAGAUUGUGCUCUGCCACUUGUCUGCUGUGUGACUUUAGGCAAGUCACUUAACUUCUCUGUGCCUCCGUUCCCUCAACUGUAAAAUGGGGAUUAAGACUGUGAACCCCACGUGAGCUAACCUGAUUACCUUGUAUCUACCCCAGAG
rnacentral:lncRNA from 1 species